rnacentral:rRNA from 1 species
UACGGAGGGUGCAAGCGUUAUCCGGAUUCACUGGGUUUAAAGGGUGCGUAGGUGGGUCUGUAAGUCCGUGGUGAAAUCUCCGAGCUUAACUUGGAAACUGCCAUGGAUACUAUAGGUCUUGAAUACUGUGGAGGUCAGCGGAAUAUGUCAUGUAGCGGUGAAAUGCUUAGAUAUGACAUAGAACACCAAUUGCGAAGGCAGCUGGCUACACAAAUAUUGACACUGAGGCACGCAAGCGUGGGGAUCAAACAGG